AUGGACAAAUUUCUGAAAGCAUCGUUUUUAGUCCUAGGCCUUCACCUAGCCUGGGUCAGUGGCCAACAGAAGGAGAGACAUGACCAGGAGAAGGUGAAACAAAGUCCCCAGUCUCUGACUGUCUGGGAAGGAGAGACCACAGUCCUGAACUGCACUUAUGAGAACAGCGCAUUUGACUACUUCCCAUGGUACCGGCAGCUUCCUCGGGAAGGCCCUGCACUCCUGACCUCCAUAUUAUCUGUGUCCAAUAAAAAGGAAGAUGGACGAUUUACCAUCUUCUUCAGUAAAAGUGAGAAACAGCUCUCCUUGCACAUCGCAGACUCUCAGCCUGGGGACUCAGCCACCUACUUCUGUGCAGCAAGUGCACAGUGCUCUCCAGGCACCUGCAGCCCACACACAAACCUGCAGCUGAAGCCCCAGCAAAGCUCUGCAGUGGAGCUGAGCCUGGCAGAGUGUGGAGAGGUUCUCAUUUGCAGGGGCGGGGGACAGGGGACACAGUGA